rnacentral:rRNA from 1 species
UACGAAGGAUCCAAGCGUUGUCCGGAUUUACUGGGUUUAAAGGGAGCGUAGGCGGGCUAUUAAGUCAGUGGUGAAAGCUUGCAGCUUAACUGUAAAAUUGCCAUUGAAACUGAUAGUCUUGAAUAUGGUUGAGGUGGUUGGAAUAUAUCAUGUAGCGGUGAAAUGCUUAGAUAUGAUAUAGAACACCGAUUGCGAAGGCAGAUCACUAAACCAUUAUUGACGCUGAGGCUCGAAAAGCGUGGGGAUCAAACAGG